UGGGGAAUAUUGCACAAUGGGCGCAAGCCUGAUGCAGCCAUGCCGCGUGUAUGAAGAAGGCCUUCGGGUUGUAAAGUACUUUCAGUCGGGAGGAAGGUGGUAAGGUUAAUAACCUUAUCAAUUGACGUUACCGACAGAAGAAGCACCGGCUAACUCCGUGCCAGCAGCCGCGGUAAUACGGAGGGUGCAAGCGUUAAUCGGAAUUACUGGGCGUAAAGCGCACGCAGGCGGUUGAUUGAGUCAGAUGUGAAAUCCCCGGGCUCAACCCGGGAAUUGCAUCUGAUACUGGUCAGCUAGAGUCUUGUAGAGGGGGGUAGAAUUCCAUGUGUAGCGGUGAAAUGCGUAGAGAUGUGGAGGAAUACCGGUGGCGAAGGCGGCCCCCUGGACAAAGACUGACGCUCAGGUGCGAAAGCGUGGGGAGCAAACAGG
rnacentral:rRNA from 1 species